UCUCCGUUGGUGAACCAGCGGAGGGAUCAUUACCGAGUUUACAACUCCCAAACCCAAUGUGAACGUUACCAAACUGUUGCCUCGGCGGGAUCUUCUGCCCCGGGUGCGUCGCAGCCCCGGACCAAGGCGCCCGCCGGAGGAAUCAACCAAAACUCUUAUUGUAUACCCCCUCGCGGGUUUUUUUAUAAUCUGAGCCUUCUCGGCGCCUCUCGUAGGCGUUUCGAAAAUGAAUCAAAACUUUCAACAACGGAUCUCUUGGUUCUGGCAUCGAUGAAGAACGCAGCGAAAUGCGAUAAGUAAUGUGAAUUGCAGAAUUCAGUGAAUCAUCGAAUCUUUGAACGCACAUUGCGCCCGCCAGUAUUCUGGCGGGCAUGCCUGUCCGAGCGUCAUUUCAACCCUCGAACCCCUCCGGGGGGUCGGCGUUGGGGAUCGGCCCUUUACGGGGCCGGCCCCGAAAUACAGUGGCGGUCUCGCCGCAGCCUCUCCUGCGCAGUAGUUUGCACACUCGCAUCGGGAGCGCGGCGCGUCCAUUGCCGUAAAACACCCAACUUUCUGAAAUGUUGACCUCGGAUCAGGUAGGAAUACCCGCUGAACUUAA
rnacentral:rRNA from 1 species